CUACGUUUACACGGCAAGGUUAAUCCGGAUUAGCAACAACCGUAGUUAGUGAAUUCUUUGAUUCGAUUGGUAUAUUCUUUUAGAUCUAAAAAUAUACUCUAAUCGGAUUCGAGCCUGCACUAACUACGGUAGUUACUAAGUCGAAGUUAGAAGCCGUGUAAACGUAGUCUGUAUUAUUGGCAUGACAGAUCGUAGCAAGUGCGUCGGAGCAUCUGUGAUUUUUGUAACUUUUGAUUCGUUUGAGAGCGACACUUUUUUCUUGCAAAAUCGCGUUCUACGCACCAAAAUACACAAUUGUGCAAGUUUGAGCGAAAUUCAAGUGACAUGAUUUUAUAGUUAAAGGAUCUACAGUAAUCAAAGUCUAAGUUAGAUCUGUUUUUUUCAUCCGCAUAGCACUUUUUAUAUUUAAAACAGGUAAGUAUAUAAUUAU